rnacentral:rRNA from 1 species
CAGCCGCCGCGGGAAUACAGAGGGUGCGAGCGUUAAUCGGAUUUACUGGGCGUAAAGCGUGCGUAGGCGGCUUCUUAAGUCGGAUGUGAAAUCCCUGAGCUUAACUUAGGAAUUGCAUUCGAUACUGGGAAGCUAGAGUAUGGGAGAGGAUGGUAGAAUUCCAGGUGUAGAGGUGAAAUGCGUAGAGAUCUGGAGGAAUACCGAUGGCGAAGGCAGCCAUCUGGCCUAAUACUGACGCUGAGGUACGAAAGCAUGGGGAGCAAACAGGAUUAGAUACCCCUGUAGUCCCUGUCUCUUAUAC